UCUCUGGGAGGGAGUAAUUGUCAGAUUUUGGACUGCGGAGAAAAAUAAUUCAGAUAUGAAUAAUAUAUAUCGUAAUGCCAUAUUCUACAUUUGCUGCCAGAGUUACAGCUGAGCUCUAAAAGAUUCAAACUCGUUCAGCUAUUCCCUACAGGUUCAGUGAUUACACUGUUGGAUGUAUGUAGCAAUGAACGAAGAUGGGGAUGUUUAUCGAGGCACAUGAAGAAGAUUCUCCCAAAGAUAUGUCAACAUUGACAUACGAUAUAUUAUUUGUACAUGCAAAUUAAGCCAAGGAGUUGUGAUGUAAAUAACACUGAAAACAUGUCUCUGGCAUCUGCAGUGCAAGGCAAAAACCCAUAUCCAGACAGAGGUUUGGGCUUAAACUUGUUGGGAAUUGACUAUGAAAGGAAGAAGCAGAAACUUCAGCAGGAGCUACAGCUCGACUACGAACUUUUUAUUUCUAAGACAAAGGAUCGGAAAACCAGAGAACCCUGUCCGCCAUCCCAGGGUCUCUCCCUACCUAUCGAUGACAGGAUAUCUAUAAAGGCAUGUGUGUGUACCUGAGUAUAGCAAUAUAUCAAUAAGCAGGUGGUCAUCAAAGUGUUACUUGAGUGCUUCAGCUUGAGCGGAUUAUAUUGAAUUGUUGGUUACAGAGUGCUCUGUGUUUCAUGGCAACAGCUUAUGCUUGCAAGUGCAAAGAAUGAUUUCAAGGCUAUCUUACUGAUGCAGCAGCGUAGUCCAAGCAUUUUUGAAACACUGUGGAUAACAGCAAGUCAAGAAAUUGCAAUCUUGCAGAAAUGAGAUGCAUGGGAACUGUGUUGCUCUGUAAUGUUUGUACACAAUCAGCAUUGUAUCCAUGUAAACUAUUAUGGAAAAAUAACAUGCACUGAGGUAAGCCCUGCAUAUGCCUCUUAAAGCCUUAAAGUGAGCUUAAAUUCUACAUAAAUCAUUUCACGUACAUAUAGUAAUAAUACAUAAUACAUAAUAACACACAGUGAGUAGUAUUUUCUCUUUUGGAGAUAAAGAAAGUUAGGGUUUUGGGAUAAACAUCAGUGGGUGGCCUUCGCUCCAGUGAUUGUGCCUGUUGGGCAUUAAUUGUGGGGUUUAUGGUUUGAUGUCUGACUUCUUUAACAAGAAGUGUAUCUCAAAUUCAUGCUGUUGUGUGUAUGCGUCAGAGAGAGCUGCUUUGGAUAAAAUAGUCUGUCUAUUUUCUUUAAUUAUAUCUAGACGUAUAGUUUAUGUGAGUGUUGAAGCUUUUUAAAGACACUUUUUUAUUCAUUCAUUAAUUAGAAGUCAACAGGAAACUAAUUGAACUAUUUCAAGAUUUCUAAACGUUUUGUUUGAAGUCAGCUUUAAAUACAGCAAUGGAUGCAUGUAACUAGUGUUUUGGCUGCUUGCUUUAGAUAGAUGACUGAAUUUGUUUUCUCUCCCAGCAAAAACUAAGGGAAGAGAGAAAUAAAGAAUACAGCCUCUUCCUCCAAGAACAAGCUCAAAUCAGAAAGUUAAAGAGGACAGCAGCUCCUGUCACUGCCAAACUUGGGCAGGUUCAGGCCUCAGAUGCUGUCAGUGUUUCUCCUCAAGUGUCUCCCCUGUCUGUCCUCAAUACCAUCUCAACAAUGCCUCCUCCUCAAAAGGAGCGCCCUGCAUCCCGGAGAGACGCAGCCACUCUGACUGAGGCAGUGGAUAAUGGAAAAAGUACAGGGACUUUGGGUCCAGGUUAUCGGCGGCGAAGGCGCUGGCAACUCUACAGACAAAAAGAGCCCUAUAGCUCUGAGGAGGAGCUUAACACAGAUGAAGAACUCGAGUCUGAUUUUAGAUGCAGGAGGAGGCAAGACAGAUGCACUCGAGAGCCUGAGUACAAAGAAGAGAGAAGAAAACAAGAACGCAGAGUGAACAGCAGAGCUUCUCGGAACAUAAAGGAUGUGGAGGCCCCUAUUGCUUGUGAUCAGAACAACAAUGAUAGGAUUUGGAAGUCAGAGCUGCAAAUGCCAGACAACAUGAGGAUGGCGGCAAAGUCUACACCUGGUAUCAGCAAAGAGAAGCCUGGGUUUGCUACGGGACUCAUGAUUGGGGCAACAGAAGAUCAGACGGCUGCUCAGAUGAAGAAAGAACAGUAUGGGCAGGAGUUGCUGAGGCAGAUUGCUGAAAAGCAGAGAAACAAGAUGAUGGAGAGGACACUUGAGCUAAGAGUUGCCGCCACUGGAGCCACAGAUCCUGAGAAAGAGCCUGACAGAAUAAAGAAGCUGCGGGGUGUAAAUCUGCAGUAUGACAGUUUGAGACGGGAUGUUCCUCACAAGCCUGGAAUAGAGAUGGAGUCUGACGGGAAGAAUCUAAACCCAAGGCCUAAAGAUGAUAAACCCACUAACAACACAGAACAGACGGUUCCCAGAGGAAAGUCUGAGGUGACAGUCCCUCGGUCUGGAAUGGGAGUAAGACAACGUUAUCCCUCCUUGGAAUAUUUUAGUGAGGACUACCACAGAGACUUUUCGAACAUGCUUGGAGAGGUGGCCAUCCAAAGGGUUUUUGAAGCUGCUCCUCCUGUACCUCCCAUUGUACCUAAUACUUACAAGACUCCAUACGAUGCAGCUUAUUACUACUAUGGAACCAGGAAUCCAUUAGAUCCUAAUCUACCUUACAAUCAGAAUGACCUUCCCAGAGAGGUUCAACAGUCUGAGAAUUUCAAGAUUCCUUUUCAAAAUCCACGUCCUCUCGGAUCCAGUGGCACCAUUAAAGCAACUCGCCAGUGUACGGCAUCUCCCUUGGCUUUUGAUGAGCUUCAUGAAGACAAGUCCAGGCAGAGGAGAGAGAGUAUACUGAGCUACCAAGAAGCACUCAAACAGCAGAUCAGAGAAAAUGAGGAGCGUAAAAGAAGAGAGAAAGAAGAGGGGAUGCGAUAUGAUGCAAAGAUAGAGGCUGAGAUGACGGCUUACAAUCCCUGGGGCAGAAGUGGUGGAGGUGCUCCCAUUAAAGACCAAAAAGGCAACCUUGUUAGUGACCUGCAUCAAAUGCACAGGAGCAAUGAGAAGUCAAAUAAGAAUCCCAUUGAUGCCAGAGUUCCCCUUUCCCAUCGACUAUCAGGUUCCAAUGAUCCUCCACAGGAGCUUCACACGCAGGACAAAUACAAAGAAGCCCUGAAACGACAGAUAGAGGAAAGAAAGAGAAACCAGGCAGAGGAGAGAGAACGUAUUAGGAUUGAGGAGGAGAAGGAGGAGAAGAGGUUGGUGAGGCAGAGGGCUCACAUACAGCAGGAAUAUGAGGACGAGCAAAAGAAACAAAAGAAGAUUGAGCACAGGCUGGAAAACCAAAGCUGGAUCUAUCAGCCUAAAUCACAUCACCAAGAGGAGGAAAAGAAGGUGGGGCAGGAAAAAGAGACUGACAAGAUGCCGCAGAGUGCCAAAACAGGAGAAGAGGAAAUUUCCCAAAUGAAUUAUGAGAGGGAGCCAUCUCCUCCCAUCCCAACCUUGCGGAAGAAGCAAACAAGUCCUGUAGCAUCUAGGCCUUCCUCUGUUGGGAGCCAACUCUCAUCCAGGAAUAAGCACCCUAUGUCAGCGCCACACAAAUGUUCAGUCUCUCUGAAAACACCCCAGCUAGACGAUGGUCAACAGGAAGUGAUCAAACAGCUGUCGCUCCUCCGGACGCAUCUGAGGAAUGAGCAGAGACAGCUGGAGGUUCAGAUGGGCCAAACAGCUCCACCGGAGACUCCCUACACUCCCCCCAACAGGCAGAGAAGACGACUCAGAGAGGCGGCUGCUGAACGCGUUAAUAUGCAAAACAUCAGGGAGUUCAACCAGCUUAAACACAGAGGUACAGCAUCUCGUGAAGGGGUCCGAGCCAUGUACCCUGAUGCUCCCACUGAUGCGCAAAGUCUGGACAUCCAACAGCAGGCUCUUCUACGUGAACAAGAGCGCAAAAUCAGGCUUAUGAAUAGACAGAAAGAGCACGACUUUUUGGACCAACAGCAAGACCUUUAUUUUCCUAGGAGGAAACCUGGAUCCUUCGUCCACAGAGACUCCGUAUUGCCGUCUCAGUCUGCUUUUAUGGAUGUUUACAGUGGUGAUGCACGUGACCAUCAGAGAUCCUCUCAGCCCUCAGCAGAGCACCGAGACAGGACAGCCCCACGAGGGAGACAUAACUGUGAUCAGGUAGGGGAUUCUAUUGAUCAGAGGGAGCAUGACAAUCAGUCAGACGACCGGUCUCUGCAGUCCGGCACGAGUCUGAACCUCAGAUCUAAAGUCAGGGACCACAACCACCACCGCAUCAUCAGACGAGACACUUGCACUGGGGAUCACAACAACAGCAGAACAGAGGUGCUGUCUCCAGAUGAAGAGGAUGUCUUGUCCCUGCGCUCUGCCUUGGGGAGGCGUGUCUCCGUGGAGACAGUUGCCACAGAGCCCUGGCUGCGGCCCGGAACAGCAGAUGCUGUUAAACACUCAGGCUGCAGAGAGACGCCGAACAGCAGGAUGGAUGCUCCGCCAUGGCUGACACACUGCAUCACAUAGCUCCCAUUAGCUGCUCUCCAAGGAGAGGAAAUUGCGAAUCUCUCAUUCCCUAAGGUGCAGGUGGUGGGUCCAGUUACUGUGCUGAAAACAUAAUUAAUGAGUAACAACUCUAAUUUCUUUAAACUAAAAUUGAUACCAUAAUCAGACAAUUUUAAUUGUUCUCUUUCCGUAGUCAUCAUUUUUGAAGGAUGUGAUUUUGUUUCACUUGAGAUUUGCAAAAGAUUAGGCUUUUAGUGCAUCCGAUAGCUGUAGCGGUUUCUUGACAAAAAAGAUUCAUCCACAUAUUUAGUUGUAUCUAAAGGGUCCGUGUAUGGAUCUGGUAACUGGAUUUUCCGUUCUGAAACGGGUAUUGAAAAACAAAAAACGAGUGGUUAUUUGAUUUUCGUUUUAAAAUACAAAAAUUAAAAUUGAAAUACAAGGCGUUUUUCCUUUUCAUGAUCAAAAAGGGAUGUACGAUUUUUAAAAAAAAGCUUUGAUUUUUGUUUUAUAUUUAGAAUAACAAGAAAAUAAAAUCAAUAAGAGACAGAAACGAAAAAAGGUCCGUUUUUUCAUUUUCUGAGACCGGAAGUGGUCAUCAGCAAGUGUGGAGCCAAACGGAAUACGGUGCAUACACUGUAUAUAAUUUUUUUCGUUAGUUUUCAUGGUCAAAAUGAGAGAUCAGGUGGCCGAUCUUAAAAUAAAUCAAUAUUGAUUUUUUUUUAUAGAGCGUUAAAGUUUUGCGAAGCCAGGGGGCGGGGCUACUUGAUUGACAGUCCGGUCUGGAAUGAUUGACAGGUCCUAUGGAGGAGGCAGCAGAGACUCUGCUCUCCUGGUUUGGAUUAAUUCUGAUAUAAUAACUGUUGGUUUAUUUAUCGGUGGAGCAGCACAACAUUUUCCACAGACAGUUUUCCUGCCCGUUGGCUUGUUUUAACCAGUUUUCUGCCUUCGGCUGAUUCUACCAGCAGGCACUGAAAGGACUCUAAUAGUUCGGUAAGUAAAUGUUUAUUUUCGUAUCGGUGCCGCUUUUAACGCACUUUAUAUGCAGCUUUAGUGUCAGAUGUAAUGUGUGCCAUGCACUCCAGAUGUUGGUGGAGUUUGUUUCAGUGUGUGUUGACCAGAGAAGAAAGUUAGCAUAGUAAAUAUUAGCUUCAGUGUUAGAUGCUAAACGAGAUAGCUGCUCAGUCGUAGCCUGUUUAAAGCUAACGUAGCAUCAAGCUAAUGUGUUGAGUUUCAUGUGAACAGCUGAAGUGUGUUGUGUUCCUGUAAUGUGGUUCAUUAAGUUCAUAAAACUGUGGCUGGUUGACAUUAAUGUAACGUAAAUGUGAUUAAAACAGUAACGUUAAUGUUCUAGUUGUCAGUAAUCAGCUUUAAUUUGACACUAAAACAGACUGUUUUAAAUGACAUCAGUUUCAUCAAUUUGUUGAAAAUUGUCUCAUUUGUUGUGAUGUUGCUGCUACUCAUACUCAUAGUAUAGCGUAUCAUCCAAAAAACAUCAUAGUUUAGCAUGUCGUCCAAAAAACAUCAUAGUAUAGCAUGUCUCUUUAAAAUUGUCACAGUAUAGCAUGUCGUCCAAAAAACAUCAUAGUAUAGCACGUCGUCCAAAAAACAUCAUAGUAUAGCAUGUCUCUUUAAAAUUGUCACAGUAUAGCACGUUGUCCAAAACACGUUAUAGUAUACCAUGUCGCUCAAAAAAUGUCAUAGUAUAGCCUUUGGUCCAACAAACAUCAUAGUUUAGCAUGUCGCUCUAAAAGCGUCAUAAUAUAGCAUAUCGCCCAAAAAACGUCAUUGUAUAGCAUGUCGUCAGAAAAACGUCAACCUAUAGCAUGUCGCUCUAAAAACGUCGUAUAGCAUGUCGCUCUAAAAACGUCAUCGUAUAGCAUGUCGCUCUUGAAACGUCAUCGUAUAGCAUGUCGCUCUAAAAACGUCAUAGUAUAGCAUGUCGCUCUAAAAACGUCAUAGCAUUUCGCUCUAAAAACAUCAUACUAUAGCAUGUUGCUCUAAAAACGUCAUAGUAUAGCAUGUCGGCCAAAAAACGUCAUCGUAUAGCAUGUCGCUCUUGAAACGUCAUAGUAUAGCAUGUCGCUCUAAAAACGUCAUAGUAAAGCAUGUCGCUCUAAAAACGUUAUAGUAUAGCAUGUCGCUCUAAAAACGUCAUAGUAUAGCAUGUCGUGCAAAAAACGUCAUCGUAUAGCAUGUCGCUCUUCAAACGUCAUAGUAUAGCAUGUCACUCUCAAAAUGUCAUAGUAUAGCAUGUGGCUCAAAAAACGUCAUAGUUUAGCAUGUUAUCCAAAAAACAUCAUAGUAUAGCAUGUCGUCCAAAAAACAUCAUAGUGUAGCAUGUCGUCCAAAAAACAUCAUAGUAUAGCAUGUCUCUUUAAAAUUGUCAUAGUAUAGCAUGUCGUCCAAAAAUGGUCAUAGUAUACCAUGUCGCUCAAAAAACGUCAUAGUAUAGCCUUUGGUCCAACAAACAUCAUAGUUUAGCAUGUUGCUCUAAAAACGUCAUAAUAUAGCAUGUCGCUCAACAAACGUCAUUGUAUAGCAUGUCGUCCAAAAAAACGUCAUAGUAUAGCAUGUCGCUCUAAAAACUUCAUAGUAAAGCAUGUCGCUCUAAAAACGUCAUAAUAUAGCAUGUCGCUCGAAGAACGUCAUCAUAUAGCAUGUCGCUCUAAAAACGUCAUAGUAUAGCACGUCGUCCAAAAAACAUCAUAGUAUAGCAUGUCGCCCUAAAAACGUUAUAGUAUAGCAUGUCGUUCUAAAAAUGUCAUAGUAUAGCAUGUCGCUCUAAAAACGUCAUAGUAUAGCAUGUCGCUCUAAAAACAUCAUAGUAUAGCCUUUGGUCCAAAAAACGUCAUAGUAUAGCAUGUUGUCCAAAGAACAUCAUAGUAUAGCAUGUCGCUCUAAAAACGUCAUUGGAUAGCAUGUCGCCCAAAAAACGUCCUAGUAUAGCAUGUCGUGCAAAAAACGUCAUCGUAUAGCAUGUCGCUCUUCAAACGUCAUAGUAUAGCAUGUCACUCUAAAAAUGUCAUAGUAUAGCAUGUGGCUCAAAAAACGUCAUAGUUUAGCUUGUCGUCCAAAAAACGUCAUAGUAUAGCAUGUCGCUCUAAAAACGUUAUAGUAUAGCCUUUGGUCCAAAGAACGUCAUAGUAUAGCAUGUCACUCUAAAAACAUCAGUGUAGCAUGUCGCUCUAAAAACGUCAUAGUUUACCCUUUGGUCCACAAAACGUUGUUUUGUCCCGGCUGUCUGAAGUAGGUGAGGAGCAACACCAAAAGCAUCCAAACGCUGGUUUCCAGAGGGUUAGACGAGUAUUUAUUUGAAAGAGGACGUUUACAACAACACAUGUGAGGGGGUUAAAUGCAAAUGGGUGGUAGUAAAAUAAAAAUAAAUAAACAGAACUAAAAGUGAACUUCAUGUUGACAUUGAUGGGCAUUCCAACCUGGAACAAAGUAAAAGAUAAUCAAUACGAAAAUAAAACUCUUCCUGUUCACCUCUUCAAACCCAAAAACACACCGCAGUAGCACCCUGAACUAAAACUACCAAUGGGUUCCCUGUUUUCCUUUCUGAACAAUUCAAAGGUCCCUCUCUAUCUCCCCACACAUCCACCAACCACUGGAACACAUCUCCAAAGUUCUGCCGGGCCAGCUCAGCUUCCCUUCAGAAGAAGUUCCACCAGAUGAAGGAGCCUUUUGAGAGGCAGCUGGCAUCGUGAUUGGACUGUACUUUGUUCUGUUCCAAUCCAGCUUCAGCUCCAGAGACGGCAGGCGGGACGAGUCAACGGAGGCCGGGUGGACGAAGGCAUGCAGCUGAGUACAAUACAGAAAACAACAGAGGAGGAGUACAGCGGCCCAGGACCAGAACAGAGUAGCAUGACCAAAGAACUACAGACUCUUCACAACCUGCUCAAACUCUUGGUACAGGACCUCACCACACAGGUCAAGAAGGUUUCUGUCUCAUUUCUACUCUGAAGCUCACCUUCUCCUGCUCAAACUGCUGACAAAUGUUUCUGCUGCUCUAAAGUCUGGUCUCCAGAACUUCCUAAAAACUCUCAAAGUCUCUUCUGCUGCAGGUUGCUUUGUAGAACUGUUCCAGAAAACCUCACUAAACCACAUGGAGGGGCCUCAAGAUAGUCAUCCAAAUGAAACUGUACAAAAACCAAACUAACUAGUACAACCCAAACGCUAAAGUCUCCUGCAGCCUACCAGAGAACCUCUGAGAACAGAGAAUCAGGACAGGAACUCUUACCUUCUGGACAACCAAGAAUACAGAAUGUGUCUGACCAAAAACCUCUAAAGACUCACUACAGCCAAGAUAAAGACACAACUCAGCUGUACCAAAUCCACUAAUCACUGCACACAUUAGCACCAUGUGCUAACUGUGGCUAAAGAACCACAUUUACCAAGACAACUAUCCAGUACAAAGCCCUAAAACACACCAAGAAACACAUUAUAGACGAUUUUACUGCUGGAAGCUGCAAGCCAACGCCUAAAGAACAAACACAACGGAGCCAAACCCGGUUCCGUGGUGAAGAGAAGCAGAGGAAAUGUUUGUCUGUAGCCACAUAAAGCAGGAAGACACUGAGCUGCUCAGGUGUUCCUGAUAACACCAAGCAGCCACCUGGACAGCCAAUAGGAACACAGCUUACUGGAAGUCCAGAGGGCUGGCUUAGUGAAGGAAAUUUAGUUUAAAGUUGAGGCAGAAAGUUAACAAAGAAAGUUGAAAACCACCUUCUGAUACCUGAAAUCUCUGAGUUUUCACACAAAGAACGCCUGAACAUGUCAAACUGGUUCCAUAGUAGAACCAUCAUUGUAAAAACGUCAUAGUAUGGUGUGUUGCUCAAAAAACAUUACGACCCGGCUUCUAGGGUCGCCGAGGAGCAACGCAAAAACAGGACAAACGCUGGUUUCCAGGGGGUUAGGAGGCUAUUUAUUUGAAAGAGUAAGUUUACAACAACACAACAUGUGAGCAGAAAAAUCACAAAGUCUGUCUUUAGUUCAGCUAAAAAUAUUAGUUUUUGUCUUAUUUAUUGACCAGACUUUUCAGGAAGUAGAUGAAGAAUAAUUAAAGCUCUCAUGUAGAAGUCCAACUUAUUUUGGAUCCUUGUGGAGAGUUUAAUCUUAGAGUUUGUAAAGCUGUUGAGUUUUUAGAGUCACAUGGAUUUUGACAUUUAAUAACCGAGUCCUGAAAUAAAAUUACAGUUGUGGAUUUCUGUCAUUUAGUCUGGACUGAACAAAUAACAGCAGCAUAAAUCUCAAACGUCAUUAUGAGGAGUCUGGAUUGAGGUUUCUCACUUGAUAAUGAUCAAAACAUGAAAUUUAGGUUGGUUUAAAGGAAUAUUCCACCUUAAAUCUUUGAAUGUUGACCUAAAAGUUUGGUUUCAGGAAGUAUUCCACCUACAAGUUCCUCAAACAACCACCUCCUCGUAGGACUCCUCCUGUAGCCUUGAGGGAACCACAGGAACAUUCAGUAGCUGUUGGAGUUCUUCCUGUCAGGCUCGUGGUAGAACAGCUCUGAAGAAUCUUGUACUUGUCUUAUCUGGAACAAUCUAACAGCCUAAACUGUUAACAGCAGUGUAAAGAAGCAAACACACAGGCAUAGAUUAGGACUCAAACUAGAUUUAUUUUAGAAAACAAAUCAGCUUCGAGGCAUUUGUUCACACAUGUGGCUGAAUAGGAGGCCGUCCAAUCAGGUUCAAGGUCUUCACUCUGUAGGUUGGUUGUUCGGUGAGACUCUUGUACUUCCAUCAGCUGACGUGGAUGUUUGAUGGUCUUCCUCUCUAGUGCCAGAUGAUUCAUCCAUGAAUUCAGCAGCUACAGACUGAAAUGAAGCUCAUGCUGCCGUUAUUGAAUUCCUGUUCCAGAUCUAAUGUUCAGAGCUCAUCUUGAAUGCAGCCGUCUGCUGUCUGAUAGUUUUUCUCAUUGUAGUCUUCAAUAAAGUCUUUUUCCUCAUGUCA